AUCCAAUUAUCGGAUCUAAAGAAAAUUAAUAUGGGACCACCCUUGAGAUAGGUGGUAUCCGAUAAAAAAGAGUUAUCGAAAUCGGUUAACGUGGUGCAAAGUUAUGCGGUAACGUACAUAAAAAAAAAGAAAUAUUUCGACGAUCCUCCUCCUUUUUGUGAAGUCGGUUAAAAAUAACACAGGACUUGUGUGGUUUUCCUCUUAAAAAACUAAUUAGCUAUUUAGGUACGUAUAGGUACUACGCUAUUAAAAAGAUAAUAAAAAAUUGCAUCACGAAAAUUUUUCAAGAAAAUAACUUUUAUAAUUUUUCUUAGCUACCGCGCAUUACUAGCGUUAACUUCGAAAUUACAUAAGUCCUUCUGAUUAACUUAGUCUCAUUAUGAGUAUUAUUACUAAUACUAUUGGUUUGUAAGUACAAAUUUUAUUCUAAAUUAAUUAAUUUUUGGCUUUUCAUGCAAAUUCCUAAAAUUCUAACAUCUAAGUACAUGUUAUCAAUAAAAAUAAAUCUCGGAGGGCUGGAAGAGAACCAAAGAUGUACUUUAAUUUAACAUCAUACCUAGAUAUUUAAAAAAAUAACAUAAUUAUUAGAAAGGGGAAAAAUUAGAUUUCGCAGACCUGUGUAACCCAAUAGAAAAUAGGUAAAUUUUCUACCAUACUAAAAAUUCAAACGCCACUAAGUUUGCGCGCAAAAGAAAAUCUGUAGUGCGAUUCACUACGCUAUUUUAACAACUCUUUUUAUUGUUAAAGCAAUUAAACGACAAUUUUAUCAAUAUAGCUAUUCAUUAAACGUUUCCUUAACAACAUUCGUUAGCGCAAAAUCAGCUGUUGUCGGCAACGAUAACAACGGCCGCUAAUUUGACAACGUCUAGUUUGGUGUUGUUACAAAAAACAUAAAUAAUUCGAAAGCGCUAAAAUAAAAAAUUAAGUGAAAAAAUGUCAUUUGAGUACCUCGCUUAUAGUUUGUCGCGUAGUCAGCAGCAGUUUAACGCAUUGAGGGUGGAUCGGCGUAUGUUGCGGAGUGCGGACAAUCCGUUUGAAUUGCCACCAACAGAGUUCCGGAAAUUAUACCGGCUAGGACCCAACUUGGCAGCCGAUCUGGUUCAACGGUUGGAAGUGUAUAUAAAAGGCUCGAGAGUAACUGCCAUAUCCGCCGAAAAGCAGGUUCUGUCUACUUUGCGCUUUUAUGCCACUGGGUGCUAUCAACGCCCUGUAGGAGAGCGGUGGGGCAUUUCGAUGAGCCAGUCAUCCAUAAGCCGUUGUACUCAUCGUGUGACAGAGGCAAUUAACAACCACUUGUUUUUAACGGAAGUCAAGUUUCCUAUGACACAAAUGGAACGCCAAGCUGCCAAAGAAGUAUUUUCCUCAGCAGCUGCGCCUUUUGUGGGGGGAACUAUUGGGGCGAUCGAUUGUACCCAUAUUUCUAUUUUGGCUCCGAAAAAUAAUGAGGAGGCGUACGUCAACCAUCAUGGAUACCACUCAUUAAAUGUAUGAAUGAUAUGCGACCCGAACUUGAAAAUUUUAAACGUGAAUGCGAAACAUCUGGGAGCAUGACAUGACUCCUACAUUUGGAGCUCCUCUGCAGUGCGGAGAGUGAUGCAGCGUUCGUACGAGAAUGGGAACCACAACUUGUUUUUAAUAGGUGAUUCUGGAUACCCCCUAGAGCCGUGGCUUAUGACGCCGUUACCAAACCAACCGGAGGGGUCUCCUAAAUUUCGCUAUAAUGAAGCGCUAUGCAAGGCUAGGAAUCCCAUCGAAAGACUUUUCGGCGUCCUCAAAGGAACUUGGCGAUGUCUUUCGCAACAAAGGGUUCUUUUGUACGAUCCCGGGUUUGCUGCAUAAUAUUCGUUUGGGAGAGCAGCAAACGAACGAACA